rnacentral:misc_RNA from 1 species
UCUCCGUUGGUGAACCAGCGGAGGGAUCAUUACUGGAAUCGCAAGAUCCCACAACCCCUGUGAGCCUACCGAGACGUUGCCUCAGCCGGCGUCCUCCCCGAUUCCGUGCGCUCGGGCGCCCGUCGUGGCCCGGCGCUCAUCUUCCUUCCGUGGGUGCGCUUGCUGCCAGCAAACAAACUAAAAAUUUUUAAAGCCUCUCUGUGUGCAAACACAAAUAAGUAAAAACUUUCAAAAACGGAUCUCAUAGAUCUGGAAUCGAUGAACACCGAAGCAGAUCGG